UGUUCUUCUAAUCCUUAAUCCCACAGAGUAGAAUCAGUAUUCAAAGACGUAUUUUUAGCUCAGCAUCAAUCAACUGGUUGCAGCAAACUAGAGAUUCAUACUUCCCACCUGAAAGCAUUUAGACCACUGCGGGAGUUGUGCAUCCAAAAUGAGUACUUCUUUUGAUACUCUUGUUUGGUCUCUGAAAAAGAUGAAAGGCACACAUACUUUGACGCUAGGCUUCCUUGCACAGGCACCACCUGCCGAUGCUUCCCCUUAAAAUACAGAACAUAAGUGCAGAACAUUAGACAUCCGAUGUGAUAUGCAUCUGCUGUCAUCAUGCUAUAUCAUCUAGUCCAGUGAGGACAGAAUCCUGAUGAUUCACUUGAGCUUCACAGCAAUCUUAUCUUUUUGGAGGAAUUUUCAAGCAUCAAUGUUAUUGCUUCCAGUCUAGCAAGGAGGAAAUAUGUUAGUAAGCGUAUAGACUAUUCUAUAAAAUGAUUUGCCCUGAGGCCAUUUAAAGCUCCUGCAUCUAAAGAUCUAAAUCCAUAAAAAUUAAAGGUCUCAGGUAGAUGUAAGACAACAUGAACAUAUCAAAGGUGACAGCCAAAGCAGAGUCUACAGUUCUAGUUGACCAAAAAACACAAUAUAUGCUUUCCAUGAAGAACAGCAAUUGCAGUCCACAGGCAACCACUUGGGCACUUGGGCUCCUGCCUUGCUGACAAACAUGCUGUAGAACAUUCAAGCUACCACUUCCAUGACCACCACAUGUACAGAUGCAAAGUUGGGAGGGGAGCCCAUACAUGCAUGUCUUAGACAUUGAAUGUGUAUGCAUGCAAUUAUGUUUUCUUGUAAAUGCUUUAUGAUAAGAUGAUACUGUUUGGUACAUGCAGAAAAUAUAUAAACUGAGAAGUAUCAGCAUCAAGUAGUUAUAACAAAAUACAAGGUAAUUAAGAAAGCUUGACAAGAAGCUGUUCUCUACAGAAGAUUAGAAUCACAGCAAAACACUUGUAGUAAAUCGUAACAGUUACUAAUGUUUAAAUAGACUACAGCCCCCAAGUGUCCAAAGUGUUGGCUCUUAUUAAAUGUAUACGCAUAUGCGUAACAAAGCCUAAUGAGACAACCGAAAUGAGUGAAGUAGGAUAUAGUCACAAUUUCCCUACUUUAAAAAGAUUGAAGGCAACAAACGAUUCUGUUCCACUCAACAUACUAAUAUAUUUAUGAUGCGAUGAGCAUUUAAUAUUUUCAAGUUUCAAGAUAAUAAAUUUUAAAUUUAAUUCUAUCAUUUAAAAAAAUGAUUUGUAUCUUAAAGAUAAUUAUUAUGAAAAUUAAAAACCAUUAAGGUACAAUAUAAAAUGAAUUUAAUAUGUAUUAUGAUUUAUAUUUAAUUUUUAGUAAAUCAUGACUCACUAAUUGGGUAGUUGAGGGAUUCAACGUACAAGUAUCUAUAAAAAGGGAAGGAAGGAAGAUUGAUGUGAUAUUCUAGUUUUUGAAACAUUCUUAAACUUUUGUAUUUAAAGCUAUUAGCUCUUAGUAUGUCUUGGAAUAGAGAGUUCUAUACGUCCUAUAUCUCACUUAUUUUCUCAUCCUCUUUUUUUCUCAUCCUAUUUGUUAACAUCAUUUGAUAUUAGAGCCUUGCUAUGCUCUUGGAGUACAUCAUUCUUAUGGCAAUUACAUUACAGCGAAAGAAAAAUGUAACUAUAAAGAGAUGAAAAAGAAUGCAAAAAUUGAAACAUUAAGAAGACAAGUUGAAGAGAUGCUCCUCGAACGUCAAGAAACUCAUGGCUCUAGAAGCUCAUGGUUAUGGAAGUGAUGAAUUCAAAGACAUAAAUCCCCUUGCAUCCAAAGAAGUUAUAGGAUACUCAUCCAUGGAGAGUUUGACCUCAACCUAAAGAGUUUCUUGAUUGGCUUAAUGUUAUUGAGAAAUUCUUUGAGUACGAGGAGAUACUCGAAGAUCAAAAAAUAAAAUUAAUUACUACAAGACUUCGACGUUAUGUUUCAAUCUAGUGGGACAAGAUGCAAAAAAUAUUCCUUCAAAAAGAGAAGAUGAAGAUUUUAUCAUGGGAAAAGAUGAUAUCUGCGAGAAUUUUCUUAUAUUUGAUUAUGUUCAAACUCUCUUUUCGUAAUUUAACAAUUUUCAGCAAGGUAGCAAAAUCAUCAUCGACUACAUUGAAGAAUUCUACAAGUUGAUAGCCCAAAAUAACACUCAAGAGACAUAAGAACGCCUUGUUGCAAGAUAUGUCGACGACCUACGAGUUAUGAUUUGAAAUGAAGUGGAGAUAAGGUUAUUUGAUGCGUAUCAAUUUGUGUUAAAAGUUGAAGCAAAACUUGCUAAAAGUGGACCAAAGAGUUAUUCUAUUGUUCUUUUACAUUCCUCAUCUAAAGUUGGCUCAGCUCAUUCUAAUGCUAGUGGAACAAAAGCUAGUGAAAUCAUGAAAAAAAUACAUCUAAACUAACUCCUACCAACCAUGUAGGGCAAUCUAGUUGCACUAGUCAUCUUCCUACUUGCUUUAAAUGCAAACAAAUAGGACACUAUGAAUUGAGUGCCCAAAUAGAUAAGUUGAUACAUGAGUUUAUUUUGUCGAAGAAGAAGAUGACAAUGAAUAACUUGAAGAUCUUGAAAAACUAACAUAUGAUGAAUACCCUGAGGAGGCUUCUAAAGAAAUUGCACUCGAAGAAAGUGCAUGCUUGGUAAUCCAUAGAGUGUUUGCUACUCCAAGAGAUGAUUACAAUGAAAAAUAGUUGUGAAAUAAUAUUUUCAAGACACGCUGCAAGUCUCAAGACAAAGUUUGUUCUCUUGUUAUUAAUAGUGGCAAUUGCGAGAACAUUGUGUCAAGAUAUAGUAGACAAGCUCAAGCUUAAGGCAGAACCACAUCUUAAACUAUAUCAAAUUGCAUUAUUCAAGAAAUGCAAUGAGGUGCGAGUUAUUAAUCAAUGCUUAGUUACUUUUUCGAUUGACAAAAAUUAUAAAGAUGAUAUAUGAUGUGAUGUAGUACCAAUGGAUGUUAGUCAUAUAUUUUUUGGAAGACCAUGACAAGAUGAUAGGUGAACUAUGUAUGACGGUAGAAAGAACACCUAUAGGUCAUAUAAAGAAGAGUUUGCUCCCAAACCUUUGACCCAAAGGCAAGGAAAUACCUUUCUAACUUUAAAUAAGUUUAAGAGAAAGUGAAGAAAGUGGAGUUGUAUUUAUGUUAGUUGUUAAAGAAUGCAUGCAGCCUAUAGAAAUUCCUAGUGAAGUAGAAGAUAGUUUGGAGGAAUUCAAAGACACCUGCUCUGAAGAACUUCUAAGUGCCAUGCCUCCUCUUCAAGACAUUCAACAUUGAAUCGAUCUAAUUCCAAGAGCAAUCUUGUCAAACAAAUCUCACUAUCGGAAGAGUCCAAAAGAACAUUAAGAGUUAAAUAGACAAGUUAUGGAUUUAUUGUACAAGAGUUAUAUUUGAGAAAGCUUAAGUCUGUGCAUCGUUUCAGCUUUAUUAACUCAAAAAAAUGAUGGAACUUUACGGAUGUGCAUCGACAAUUGAGUAAUCAACCAAAUUAUGAUAAAGUAUAGAUUUCCUAUUCCACGUGUCGAGGAUAUGUUUGAUAUGCUUAUUGGUGCUCAAAAUUUUUUUAAAAUUAACCUUUGAAGUGGUUAUCACCAAAUCCGUAUUAAACAAUGAGAUGAAUGAAAAACUACUUUCCAGACUUCAAAAGGUUUAUAUGAAUGACUAGUUAUGCCAUUUGGACUUUAAAAUGCUUUAAAUAUCUUCAUGCGAGUAAUGAAUCAAAUUCUACGUCAUUAUAUUGGGAAGUUUGUUAUUAUUUACUUUGAUAAUAUUUUUAUUUAUAGUCGCAACAAACUUGAUCAUAUUGAACAUUUGAGAACUAUCAUAUCAAUCUUGAAGAGAACAACUAUAUGUAAAUCUUAAGAAGUGCUCUUUCAUGACCUUUAGCCUAGUUUUUUUAGGCUUCAUCUUAACCCUCUACAAGUAUCCAAGUAAUUCUGAGAAGAUUAAAGCUAUUCAGACUUGUCCAACACUAACAUCCUUAUAAGAUGUUCAGAGUUUUUAUGGAUUGGCAUCUUUUUAUUAUUGAUUUAUUCAAAAUUUUAGUACUAUUACAACUCCUCUAAUUGGGGUCUUGUGUGAGUGAAAAGUGGGCGAACGGAAAAAGAACGACACAAAAACAAAACAGAGAGAGAGAGAGAGAGAGAGAAGAGAAAAAGUUAAGGCUUUGAGGCUUUUGCUAAACGAUCAAAUAGCUAAACUUCAUCAGCUUUGGUCCAAAUUUUUUGUGGAGAAUUCAUGCAACAAGCUCUACAAUCCUAAUGGUGCCAAUCUACGAUUUGUGCUCUCUGAGGUAAUUUUCUAAUAUACCCACUUGGUGAGACCUAAACCUUUCCUUUGAUGAAAUUCAUCUAUGGUAAUGAUGAUAUGCUAUUGUUGAGCCAAGAUUUAUGUUCUUGAUGUUAUGGUGACCCUUUAGUUAUUCCUGAGAAGACUUAUUAUAAACCUAUUAACAUUAUUGGUGAUAGUGGAGGUUUAAAAUGGACUAUGGUCCGAUGGUUUUUCUCGUAUUGAGUUUUCCACGUAAAAAUUUAAUGUCUCACUUUGUGAUUGAUUUAUUGUUCUAUUAUUUAUGCUGCUCUGAUUAAUAUUUUUUGUUAGUAAUAAGUUGAUAUUUUGGUGAGGAACCUAUUUUAACACACAAAGAGAAAGAAUUAUUCCAUUGCAAUAAUUUUUCCCAACACUAAUUUGGCUAAUCUUCAUCUAUUAUUAUUAAAUUAUUACUUAGAAAGGAUUCCCAAGGAGAGAUAGGAUUCUCUAUUCUUUUUUAACUAGAUUUGAUUCAUGUUUUGAAAUAUUUAAUAUUAAAAUUAUUAUAAUUUUAUAAUACAUAAUAAUACUUUAAUUACAAAAGUUUAUGAUUAAUAAAAAAUAAUAAUUUAUUUAUGAUGUUAAAAUGCUUAUUUGACUUAUAAUGGUCUCUUAUGCUUAAAUGAAUUUUAGAUUGAUUUAAUUGUAAAAUUUUUAUUUUAGAUUAAAAUAAUAUUUUGAAUUCAUUUUAUAUAUGUAUGUUUUAAGAAUUAUAAGUGAAAUUUUAUUAUUAUUAUUUUUUAAUUUGAGACCAUGAAUUUAAAUUAUUUAAUUCAUGGAUUUAAGUUACUUUUUAAUAAUUUAAAAUAUUUUUAAAAAUAUUAAAACUUAAUUUGAUAAGAGAGAUUUAAUUGGGGUCUGACCUGAGUCAAGUUGAUCUGCCAAACUAGGUUGACCCGGCAUUUUUAGCCAAGUACAGCCUGGACCAUAUGGUCGAGCAUAAUCGAACCCAUGUGGCCAGACAUGACUCAGCCUAUAUUGUCAAGUAUAAUCCAAUCCAUAUGGUUUGGUACAACCAAACCCAUGUGGCAUAUACAACCAAACUCCCACGAUGAAGCAUGACACAACCAAUGUGGCUAAGUAUAGUAUAGCUCAUGUGGUCAAGCACGACCCAACUCAUAUGGCUAGGCACGACCUAACUCAUAUGGCCAGGAAUGACUCAAUGCAUGUGGCUAGGGAUGACACAACUCGUGAGCCAAACUUGGCCUAGUUUAGCGACAAAGCUCGCCUGGCCUGUGAGGUUAUGCCUGCCUUAACUAUGCGAUUAAGGUUAGGCAUGCUUUCAAUCCUCUAUCUAACCCAUUACACCUCUAUCCAACAUGCAACCUAGGAGAGGCAUAUGCGACACAUAUGACUAGUUGAAUGAUUAAGUAAGUCAAUUUAGUAUGGACUAGCUCCUAGUCCAAUUCCCCUUCCCUUAUUGAUUUAAGGUCACUAGUUGAUUAAACCAAACCGACUUGAUCAAUCAGGUCAAUUCAUGGUGAUUCGAAACCACUUUGACUCAUUCAAGCUCAUUUAACUUAAAUGAAACUAAUUAAAUCCAAAUUAGACCAUACGAUGGUUUCAAGUUUAAUAAAGAUUAGAGGUCAAUUCAAUUAAAUCCUAACUAAAUUUAAUCUUGCUUAAGUUAAUUGGAUUAUUCCAAUUAGGAAUCUAGUUGGUUGAGGACUUUGAUGUCUUUAUGUCUUUAUGAUUUAAUGAAUUUGAAAGUUUAAUAUGAAUAUAUCAACAAAAACUAAUUAAUGAUUUUUAAAUAUUAUUAAGAUUAAAUUAAUGAUAUUAAUAUUAUUAUUAUUAUGUAGUAUAUAUGAUUGUGUUGAAUGGUCCAUAUUGAAAGUGCAUCUAAUGAAAGGAGAUACGAGCCCAUCACAGUGCCAAGCCACCAAUGGACAUUGUUUAGCAGAUCAUAUAUCAAGCAUGAUCUCUUAUGAUAUUUUAUCAUAAUAUUUCUUUGACUAUAUACAUGAAUGAAUAAAUGAAUAUAAAUUAAUGAUCAUGAUUGAUUAUGUAUCCCUGCCAACUACAGAUAAAGUAAUUCAUAUUAGGGAUUAGAUGAUUGUUAGUUAUGAUGACUAAUCUAUUCCUCCAUCUGUUGUUGAGAAUGUCUCCACUUGGGCAAACAAGGGAUAUUACUUCAUCCACUGUUAGAAGAAAUUUAUCUCGUAGAGUAUACCUCUCUAUCAACUAUUGAGAGAGUACAGUAUUAUGUGUGAUAUAUACCUUUGUACCUUAUUGUUAUAUAUGUCAUUUAGAUAUAUAGAUAGUGACUAAUGUAUGAUUUUGUUUAUUAUAAAAGAAUUUUAUUUUAAACAUGUUUUAUAAUGAAUUGAUAUAUUAUCAAUGCAUAUUUAAUAGUUAAUAUUUGAAUAUAUUUCAUGUAUUUGUAAUGAUUGUUGAUUUAUUUUUAUUUUAUAUUUAUUUUUAAAGUAACCUAUUAAUUCAUAGUAAAAUUGAGAUUUGGUGGAAGAGAUUUUUUAACAUUUAUAGCCCUACCAAGAAGAUAUAAUCUCUUUCGGUUAAAAAAUACUUGGUAUUGUAAAGAUAAAAAAUUAAAUUCAAAAUAUAUAAAAAAAAUAUUUUUUUGUAAAUUAUAUAUAAUAAAAUGAUGAUUUAUAUUUUUUUUAUAAAGUCAAGGUGGGACAAUUACAGUUAUUUUGAAGAAUCCACAGAAUAAUGAGCUUAAUUUAUGCAAUGACAAAACUGACAAGAAUCACAUGUUAUCAGAUAAACAUAAAUUCAAUUAAACUUCUCACAAUCAUAUGCUUCAAGGAGAGUGCUAACGAAAAGUUUAAACUCUGAACAACAAAAUCAUUAUAUAUAACAUUGAAGAAAAAAAUUGUGUAUAUAAAAGCUUUCGAGAAAGUGAUUAUCAGAGAAUAUAUAGCCAUGCAAGUCAACAGCUUAGGCGAGCAUCUGAAACUGAACCAGUCUUAACUCAAGUUUGAGCCAAUAUAUACAAACCAGAGUUGCAUUUUCUGCAUUAGCUUGACUCGACAUAAAUUCAAGCUUGGUGAUAGCAAAGUGACAAGGUGUACAUGUAUGUGUUAAACUUAAACCCCUUGGCAUACUUAUGCCUAGCCCUCAAAGAACUAGUUAUAACACCUCAUUAUACACUCACCUAAUUCAAAUAGCCUCAAUCUAAAUGCUGAACAAUCAAGACUCCAUAUAAUGACACUUGCAAGAAGAGAAUCGAUGUAAUAAUUGCUCUAUAAAUAUAUAGUGAUACAUCUAAUAACAAAUUAAAAUAUUAUCGUUCAUAACAAGCUAAUGCUGAGUUCAUUGACAUCUAGUCCAUCGAUCACUCAUCUUCAACCAGCAAAAGAUAGCUGCUUAAACUAAUCAAACUUAGUAUAGAAGUAGGACCGAAUUGGAGUCCUGUUGCAUCAAUACCUGGUUGCAAUAUCAACGAGAUACUGAACAGGGGAGUCACACACUUAUAUUCAUUUCAUGAUUCAUUCUGUAUAGAACUGUGGAUUCAAUCAUGCAAAGUUAAUGUAUACAAACCUCAAGUUUGAUGUUAGACCUUACAGGAAGGGUUCCUCAAAGGUUGCAAAUUCAUCGGAGACUAACUUAGCAUACAUCACUGCUCUAAACAUGAAGAAGUGUAAAAAACAAAAGAACAUAUUAAUUAUUUUUAGAAAAUAGGAGAGUGUGGGUAAAAAUAUUAGAGAUGAACUGACUAAAAGAUAUUGGAUUAGGAGACAUGAUCAGAUCUAAACUUCAUCAAGAGUCCCAAGAAGAAAAUGGGAUCAGGGAUGACAGUUAUCAAAUUAAAAGGAAAAAAAAAUAGAGGAUGUUGUAAAGAUCUAUUUACAAGAAUAAUCUUGUAGAUCAAGAGCCCACAGUGGAUCACAUGAUGUCAUGUCUUACAGCUAAAGAGACUGAUCCAUCUAGAUGAAGAUUAUGGGUCCUCAAGAACAAGAUUUACAAAACUGUGCAAUGAUGUCAGCUUUUGUUCAGAGGAUAGAGAGGUUAGCUUAGCUAUUAAAGACACUUUUACAAGCCUUUUCAAGAGUCUCAGAAAGUAGUUUAAAUGAUCCACAUGUCUAAGAAACCUAACACACUAAUCAGACCAAAGAAGAGGCAAUAAGAUGCAAAUAAAAGAUCAAUCUGUAGUAAUUAGCACUGACUUUGAUAAAAUCUCAUGACCUCACACCUUAGGAAAUAUUUUAAGACAAAUGAACAAGAAUACAGCAUACAAUGUUAAACGACUGUUUAUAUCCUGUUGGGAAAAAAAAAAGAAACUCCUCAUGGUGAUUACAAUUUGGUGCACAGCACUAAAACCCUACAACGAACAAUAGCCAGUAGGCUGAAACACUAUUUACCAAGAUGCUAUUUUCUAAAGCAAAGAUGCAAUUGAAACAAAUGCUUUAGAGAACCAUCAUUUUCAUCCACUAUAGUUAUACAAAUAAGACAUCUACUCUUACCCAGAGUAUCUAGCACACUUAUAUUAUGCUAGAAGCUCCUCAUUGGGAAAUGUUGAUUCACGGUAAAAAGAUCUGAGGUGAAUGGUGGUGCUCUUUAUUUUGCAACUCACCAAAAAGCUUAUCAGGUAUGAGCCAGAGUGUCUCACAUUUGCCAUCAGUGUAAGAGCUUUUUGUUUGUUGUGCCGAUGACUCUUAUAUUUGUCACUUGUGACAUUUCUUUGUAAAAGAAAACAAAAUAAAGUAGUGCUUCUUGCUUUAAAAAUGCAUUUCGGAAGAUGUAGCAUAUCAUAUACACUUAUACAGGUUAUGCAGUUAUAUUCACAGUGUACUGAUCAAUCCUAGAUGAUAUCUACAGUUGACUAUAAUUUUGCUCAUCCAAAAAGAAGCUCGUGCUCUCAAAAAAGGUCAACUUGAAACUGCAUAAAACACACCCAUCCCUCAGACAUUGAACCAUCUACCUAUACCCAUCAUAGAAGAGGGGUAUUUUUAAUAUCUUGAUAUGGGAUAAAAGAGAUUGUAUCUUAACCAUUUUAAUGGGGUAACUACUGAGCUUCAACAACAUAUGAGAAGGAAAAAAGCAUAUAAAUCCAGUGAAGUUGGCUGACCUUGAGAGCAUAAAGAAGUUCUUCAAGGAACCGCCUCCUUCCAGUGAUCCAAUUCACUCCACCUAGAAACAGAAGAACAAACUAAAAGAAAUCAUCGUUCUUGCAAGCCUUCGGUUUUUCACAGUGACAUCCGACAAAAGAAACAAAGGAACGAGGAAGGGAAAAAGAAGUGAUGGCAGCUAAAGAGAUGUCCACGGAUCAAGAUAUUAUGACUACAUGACUUAUACAGUCAAAAGAGAACAGAUCUUACACCACUAGAGAAAAAGCCACGAGACGUCCGACAUGAAACAAUGUACUGAGACUUUAAUACCGCCCCAAAUAUGGAAACCUCAGACUAGGUAAGAUCUGGGAAGGCAAGUGAGAUCUCUCCUUCCUCCGUAUUGGUUCCUGCAACCUCCACACCCAGUACAUCUAAAGGUGGAGUACAGGGAAAGGCAAAGACUCAGCACAAGAAUUGUGAAGGUCACCAAGAGCGAAAAGUCCAACAUAAGAACAAAAAGACAGCUAUAGCAAAAGGGUUGCCGUCAACAGAUGAACAAUCCUUCUUUUUUCCCCUACAGUCUAAAACAAGCCAGAAAGCAAGAUCUUGUGAACAACGACUACAAUGGGAGAUAGGAAACAGAAAGGAGAAACUUGAAUCUGUCGGCAAAAUUCGAUUUUUCCCCUAGGAACUACGAGGGGCGACGCUACCGUUUCUUGCAUCACCGGCCUCCAUCGAGACGGCGAGAGCAAAUCCUUACCUACACAAAGAGGAGAGAAAAUGUUUCCAGAAAGUCGCAGAGAGAGAAGAGAAAGGACCAGUCAAACAGUGGUUUCGUUAGUCCCGCACAGUGCGCAGGAAAUGCAUGUACCCGCCGUGCUCGCCUCCUCUAUCCGACCCAAAUCUGGUCCGAUUCUCGACGAGGGAACAGACGGACGGUCGCCUCCCGCACCUCAAAAGUCGCGCUCUUCCUUUCAAAGCUCAACUGAUACAGCUUGUUCUGCUCCCCAAACUUUCCCCCAACCCUCACAAGAAACCACAGAAAGCAAUAAUUUCUCCAGACGCGGUGCAAGAAAGAUACAGUUCGACUGAGAAACGUCUGUACAAGCAAUUACUUCGCAACCGGCCUUGGAAAUCAUCCGCUGCGUUGUACACUCACGCAACAUCUGACACGCACAAACAGAAAGAGAAGGAAGAAACGAGAGACGAACAGCUGCAGCAAACCUAAUAAUAAUAAUGAAUAAAUGUCAAAAAACACGCUCGAGAUAAAGAUCUCAUCUUUUGUAUCUUUUUCCCUUUCAUCACUAAGAGGCGACGGAGGGUGGAGCUCAUGAUGAUAAUAAAGGUUGACAGGAAGAGACGUGAGCACGCAACGGAAACAGCAUCGUAUCAUACCAUUGUCCUCCGCCCUGUGCUCACUCUCUUCUGUCAACCAUUCGUUUUCUCAUUCUCCUUAAGUCUCAUUUCUUGACCUAAAAUCUCGAUCUUUCUUUCCCUUUUGUUUCCCCUCCACACAAGGAAUUCCACCCCAAAGCCUCCCUUGUCAGAUCUGAAUCCUGUCAAUAGUCACAUCGCAAAAGAAAUAGAAAGAGAGAGGAUCGUCACGACAGCAGCAGAAGCCGCAGGAAGCCGCAGGCAAGAAGAACUCGCUCAUCUUGUCGUUAUAAAGGGUGGGGAAGAAGGGAAGGCGGUGACGGGACUCGAGCUCUCUCCAUCUAAUUAGAUGAUUAGAGGGACGUAACUAAGAUAUUAGCGGAGAGGAUUACGAGGCGAAUGAGGUCAUUAAGCCGUUGUCGAGAGGGCAUUGGUGGAAACCUCUCGUGGUGUCGGGUACUACUUGCGAUUUGACCCAUUGUACUCGUGGCGGCUGCAGGAGGAUGAUGACGUGGGGCCCUUUGGGAAUCCAUCGAUGAGAGACGCUGAUGGGGACGACGUACUGGUACCCGC
rnacentral:lncRNA from 1 species